UACGUAGGGUGCAGGCGUUAAUCGGAAUUACUGGGCGUAAAGCGUGCGCAGGCGGUUUGCUAAGACAGGUGUGAAAUCCCCCGGGCUUAACCUGGGAACUGCGCUUGUAACUGGCAAGCUGGAGUGUGGCAGAGGGGGGGUGGAAUUCCGACGUGUAGCAGUGAAAUGCGUAGAGAUGUGGAGGAACACCGAUGGCGAAGGCAGCCCCCCUGGGCUAACACUGACGCUCAUGCACGAAAGCGUGGGGAGCAAACAGG
rnacentral:rRNA from 1 species